CCCUCUUGAUGUGGGAGUGUCAUAUAUCAAUCUGUUGAUUUCAUUGGCUGAGCAAUAAAGAAACUGCUUGGCUUAGCUUAGAGCAUAGAUGGGAGGAGGAAACAGAAUAGAAUUCUGGGCGGAAGAGGAAGUGAGGUCAGACUCUGCUCUGCUCCCAGAGAGACCCGACAGCUCUGCUGGAGCAGAGACGCCAUGCUCAGCUCUCCCAGGCAGCUGCAACCCACGACGGACUUAGGCUAGAAUCUUCCCGGAAUACUGGGGGAAGAGAAAGAUUCGUCUGACGCUGGCCAAGGAAGAACCCUGUUCCCCAGGAAGACAGUUCACGUUCUUCUGACAAUGUGUAGGACCCCAGAAGUGGAGACAAGGGUGAAUCGACAGCCUCCCCCCACUCUCUUUCCUGGAGCAGACCAGCUGGCCGCAAAGUGCAGAGCCUCCUUCCGUCCCCAGUCCAUGCCCAAGAAGCUAAGGGCUUAGAGGUGGCCACAGACAGAAAGGAGGACACAGCACGGAGGGGAAGGCACCUCCACAAGGACAGGAGCCCAUACCGCUCAUCACAGGCAUAUGUCAGGCUCAGUCCCUGUGCUGGUGACAACACAGGGACAGGGCAGACAAGCCCUGCUCUCCUACAGGUGGCAGAUGACCAGACUCAGAAGUGCAGAUAGUCCUGACUACCUUGGACAGAGGCGUGGAGGAGGGGAGACAUCUCAACUUGUAGGAGCAGACAUGAAGUCACUGAGUUUCCGCGCCCUGCCCUGUGUUGUGUGGGUGAGAGAAGGGUCUGCUCCCUUCUAGCCAUUGGAGCCCUCAAAGCCUGAUCUAUGCCAGGGAGGUAGAGGGAGGAAAGAUGGGCUCCAUGCUACCCACUGGCCUGGUCAGGCUACGGCAGGAGCGCAUGAACCACACCUCUCUACUGAGAACUUGGAGACCACCUAAGAUUUACCCUGUGAUAUACACAGGCGACUCUGAUCCCUAGUGUCCUUAAAGUCACACAGCAAUCCGUAAAUAGAAUUUUCCCACCUUCCUGAAUGCAGUGUGUUAGUAACAGAGAGGAGAGUGGAUAAGUAGUGUGAUAAAUAGUCCUUUUGAAGAGAACACAGCCCCUGGUCACAGUAUGUCCCAAUUCCUGUACUUAAAUACUUAACCAAAGUUAACCUUUUGCCAGCCUAAACCGAGGUUUCUGGAGGAGGGGAGUAAUUUUUUGUUUUUACCCAAAGGCCCCACCCUAGCCCAGGUGGUCACUGGAUACCAGGACAGCUGCCUAUUUAUGGAGUCUCAAGACUCCCUCCUCCCAGAUCAAGGUCACAGCAACUGAAAACAAUGCUGGAUAGACUGAGCGGGCAGGGACAGGGAUCUGUGAGAGGCUCAAAAGCUGCUGGGCCCUGCGGUCCCUGAACUGGGCCACAGUGAGGCCUUUCAUCUCCCGCCUUCGCCUCUUCCCACCCCGCUACCCCAGUGCAGCAAUUAAGGCGCAAAUUAGGAUACUUUGAUCAUCUUUAGAAAUGGCCACAUGGAAGAGGGACACUGCCAAACAAUUAGGGACAAGGGGCUGGGCGUUCAGUGGCUUGCUUAGGGGGUAAGAAUGCCCAGGACACCCACCCCAUCCCUUGCUCUCCUCCCUCCAAGAGGGCCUGCCCCCAACAUAGCAGUGAACUCCUCAGGGGGGCAGAAGCAGAUGGGGAUCCCCCUCCCAAACCCUGCCCACCAGUCUCCCUCUGCCUGGCCCCCAGCCCAACCGUCGGCUUUUCAUCCCGGGCUCGACCUCUUUGAAGCAGCCGCAGUAACAAGGGCUGCUUUGACAGAAGUGGGGGACUCAGAGCCGGGAUGAUGAAACUUCAAAGGUGAGGGUCGAGCCCACUACCUCAUUCCCUUGCCCAGGCCUGGCUGCCCUCCCACGCACCCCCCCUUCGGUCCUCUAUAUAGCCCCCUAGCACCAUUUCCCUGAGGGCUCCCGGGAGGUGAGGUCCAGGUGAGGUGCAGACCACCAGAAAUGGGUAAUUCGGUGUAAGGAAACAGGAUUGGGUGGUUUGAGGAACACAAAUCCUGAGCCCAGGAAGAGGGUGGAUUCCAGGAAGAGGACAGGGUCUCCUGCCUCGGCCCCGGGUCACCAUGCUGCUGGCUGUGUUGCUUCUGCUGCUGCUACU